rnacentral:rRNA from 1 species
CAGCAACCGCGGUAAUACGGAGGGUGCAAGCGUUAAUCGGAAUUACUGGGCGUAAAGCGCACGCAGGCGGUCUGUCAAGUCAGAUGUGAAAUCCCCGGGCUUAACCUGGGAACUGCAUUUGAAACUGGCAGGCUAGAGUCUUGUAGAGGGGGGUAGAAUUCCAGGUGUAGCGGUGAAAUGCGUAGAGAUCUGGAGGAAUACCGGUGGCGAAGGCGGCCCCCUGGACAAAGACUGACGCUCAGGUGCGAAAGCGUGGGGAGCAAACAGGAUUAGAUACCCGCGUAGUCCCUGUCUCUUAUAC